UCUACAACCCAAGGGAUGGGAUGGCGAGUUAGGAAGGCGGACGAUGAAGGAAAGGACGCAAAACGUUGAUUUCAUAUCAAUCAUUUCAAUUAUAUUUUCGCUUCGCUCUGAACCGCCUCAACUUUUCCGUAGCAUUCCCCAAAAGAUACACUUGAUUAAAUAUCAUUUUUUUAACAGACUAAUUAUGUAAUCAUGGAAAAAGCCUCCUCCUCUUGAGAUUUCCGCACCACGCAACUUGUGAGCAAACUCUUUCACCAUGAAACAUACGGCGUUACAACAUAACUGCCGUUUUUGCACUUCUACGGUCACGCAGAUGUGAUAACAUUUGGUGCAUUUUGAUAGCAGAUAUGCGGACAAUGUGGAGUGUGACUACAGGUGAAUAGUUACUCCUUUAUUAUCAACAUCGGAGGAGAUCCUACCGCUCAAGCUUCUGCAUACCAUGUUUGAACACCUCCUUUAGGCAAGAACCGCAGCCCUUUGCUUCUAAAUAUUGCCUCAUGACCGUGGAUUAAAUCCAACUUUAUACUUCCUCAUCCAAUAAUUCAUUGGAUUUUUCUGCCUGCUUUGUCACACUAGAUUCCAAGUGUGUCAUAAGGCCUUGAGAGCCAAUAAGAAGCUUGAAAGAUCCUUGACCGUCUGUCGUAAAAAUCCCAAGGGCUUCAAUGGUUGUAAAUGGUUAAUUACGACUAGGGCAAACCAAUGGGUGGGGAUUAUCCAAUGCUCUUUCACUAGUACAACUAAUUUUACUAGCGAAACGUGUUGUAGGUAUUAAACGUGUUGUUGCCUUAAGCAUGUCAAGUCAAAUGACCCAAACAGAGUAAAGGUGAUGACUCGUUCUGUCUAUUAGCAUAAGCUAGUAGCCUCCAAGAAACAAAAGCCACAGGGUGGCGUCGAGGGAACGCGGCCAAGACUGUCCGGUGACUUCCUUUCUUGCAGGUACAGUCACACGGCGUCUUCUUUUCACCUGCAAAAUUAAUAUCUAUCUAAAAUCUAUCUCUUCCUACGGUCAUUACAACGAUAAUAAUGGGCAGUUUUUGAAGUAUUCAUUCAACAAAAUGUUUAUAUUAAUACUUUUGCAUUUUUCCGACAGCUUUUGCCAGUAUUUUGAUAUUCAUCUCUCUCUCUCAGAUUGUGAACUAUGGUGUUGCAACCACCAGAUGUCAGAAUUUGUGAGUCAGUCACAAAGUUGUCUGUUUUUAAUUCCCUGCAAUUUUUUUGUUUAAAUUCUAUAAUAUAACUGAAUAAAAAUGUAAUAAAAACUAGUAAGCUAAGUCUUUAUAUUCACUAGUAAACAAAUACGUUUUUUUGGACAAUAUACUUUAAUAACUAAGUUUUGUCUCAUCACAUCAGAUUGUUUCGUGAAUAAUUCUCUUGAGCUAUGAAAUAAUACACAAUUGAAAAGCAAAAAUGUUUGGGGGAAAAAAUCUAUGAUCAUGCUCAAAAGGCAUACCUUAACGUAUAUUUUUAAAAUACAAUAAUAACACUUAAAUACUUCAAAUGAAAAGUAUUUUAAAAUAAAAUUUCCGUUUAUUUCAUUGUAUUUAAUUUAUUAAACCUAAAUUUUCAAAUGAUUUACAUGUUUACUUGAUCAACAUUCUGCUCCAUUUUGUCCACGGGAAUUAAUUCUUUCUGAAAAAGGAUUAACAAGACACACAUUCACAAGAUUAAGAAGACACGUUGUCUGUCGCCAGCGGGGGCUUUUGUAUAUAAAAAAAAAAGCAUCCCACUUUUUAAAUAUUCUAGCUGGAGGGCGACGCGACAUUUCUGCAAACUUGUGCAAGUCAAAUGUACUUUUUCCACCCUUCGACAGACCACAACCCUCAUCCGCUUUUUAGACUUUGUUCACGCAAUUUUUCUUCAUUGAUUGCUCUAUUUUAACCCCCGUUUUGACGGGACAUCAAAUGUGUUGUCCAUUGAUUUCCAAGCUACGCUCCGUAUGAUUAAUGAGCGGCUUUUUUUAAGAUGCAGGGCGGCCAACAGCGUGAGUCACAAAGCAGCUACGGCGUGAUGGAUUCGAAGAGAUGCGUCUCUCUUUAGUCUUUGCCCAGAGUACACAGCUUGUUGCCAUUACAUAAAUACGAUGAAUAAAUAUGGCAUUGAUCCUCCAUCCCUGCUUGCAUCUGCCUUUCAUUGGCCUGUUUCGCUGCAAACGCUCGAAUAGGGGGAAAAAAAAAGUGGUGAGGGAAGCUGUUUUCCUUCGGUUUGGAAUGAUUAUACUGUAGACAUAAAUAUAUACACAAGUAAAUUCAGGAUGCAGUCAUAUAUACAGUAUACUGUAUAUAUACUCGUGCAGAAUGAUUUCGAGAAAAUAAAUUGUGAUUAAAAAAAAAAUUCUCCUCAAUAUUGCCAUUAGACCGUCGGCUGUGUUCAGUCCCACAACGGCGCAAACGGCCAUUUCUAAUUGCACUUUGCAAGGGGCAGUGCGGGGGGGUUGUACCUUAAUUGUGCCCUCUGCGAUUUACGACUCAGUGCAAAUGUCGAUUUCAAUUUAACUGUUCAGCCCUUCGAGAUGAUGGCCUACUUGCUGUGGGUUGCCCAAACUUGCCAAACCAGGGAAGCCUCCCAAAUGAUUGAUACAUUUUCAAAAUUAAUCCAUAAAGCAGAUGUGUAGAUUUUCAGCCCGGAGGGAUAAAGUGUCAUCUCCUUCAUUUUCGUUUUCCUCAGCAUGCAGCGGUUCACGCCGAGGCCAAACUGCUUCCCGGCCUUCCCCCUUUUGUCAUCCGGACUGGAAGUCUUUAAACCAGAGUGUUGCAUCAAUGCGCCAUCACUUUGACAGCAAAGAUUUAACGCUAAACGGCAAAUGUUUCCCAUCCGUGAUUGUUUGGAGGGAAAACAUUGAUUGCGUCAUCGGGGUGGGGGGGUGCGCAAGUUGCGAAAAUCCUGCGGCCAGCCGGGAUAUCGACCAUGCGACCAUUAAUCGCACCACAAGUCCAACCCCCAAAUAACUGACACCAUUUUUUUUUUUGUUACUUGUUAAUUAAUCAAUAAAAAUAUCGUCGCGUUGUAAAAUAGAUAGAUCUGGCACUGAUCGUGAUCAGAUGAUUUCCAUGGAAAAGUGUGUGAUCGGCAUAAGUCUAUUCUAUCAUUGCCGAUCACGAAUCAUGAUCAUCCGCAGCUGAUUAAUCAAAAAUAAAAUAACAUUUUAUAUACAUACAUAUAUACAUACGUACAUACUGUACACACACAUAUAUAUUUGUUUCUCUGUUGUGAAACUAUGACAUUUAAUUUCAUCUCACAACCGCCUCAGUUUCCAUU